GCGAAAACGAAAGUGCUGGAAGGGUCACGGGCUUCCCAGAGUCCUGGCCCAUUAACAGCUGAAGGCCCAGGCCAGGGUCCCCUGCAUCUGAUAAGCCCAAGCUGGCCUCGGCCUGCCUGGACUGCCGGAGAGCCCGGGGUCUUCUGGGAGAGCCCCAACCCGGGCAGGGGAGUGCAGGCAAGCAAACCGAGCUGGUGACUGCCGGAGUUCACAUACAUUUAUUCAAUUGACACCAACGAGGAGUGGGGGGAGACAUUUUUCUUUUCUUCCACACAAACCAUCAGACGAUUUCGGAGUCUCCCCACAGUAGAGAAGUCUAAAUCAAUGCACACCCAGUGGACAGAGAACGCAGAUAGCAGCCCGCUGUACAGAUAUUUACAAAUAAUUACAGGACCCCCUGCCACAGGAUGUGCCCUCACCCACCCCACCCCCACCUCUCCAGCCCCUGACCCAGACCUCCUCUCCCACCCAAACCUCAUUGCUUUUAGCUACAAUAAAUAUCCCAGGGCCUGGGACAGAGCAGAGCACUAAGAGGACUGCUGGCCCUGGGUGGCUGGACCCAGCCGGCCACGGGAAAGGGGAAAAGUUCCUUCAAAAGCACCCCAACACAAAAGAGGGAGGAUGUUUCUCGGCGGGGUGGGACUCCGCAUGGAUUGUGGAGACCCCUCGCUUCACCUCUUCGUUCAGCUUCGCCUGUGUAGACACUCCUUUAUAGGCUUCAGAGAGAAGGAACCUCCUUGGAGAACAGCAAGGAAAAAAAGUUGAAUUCUUCUUUUGAGCACAAAGCGGAUAAUAGAUGUCUUUAAAUUAUAAUAUUGGACAAGCAGGGCCUCAAAGCCGAGGAAGGAGUGAGCGGGAUGCAGAAAGAGAGACCCCUCUGCGCAGUUGGUGCUUCUGGCGGGACCCGCGGGGCCUGGGCAGGCUUCUCUCCAGGACAGCAAUUCUUCCGGGGCUGCCGGGAGAAAGCGAAGACUCCCCCCGCCCCCGUUAUACUGCUCAAAUUGGAACCGGAUCGUGGCUUGCGAACUCGUCGCGUAGACCCGGGCCUCUCCCUGAGCGAUGGAGCCCGCUUCGUCCCAACUGUCGGCGAGAUUCUGAGCGUGGAGCCUGAAGUGCCAAGUCACGCGCGCCGGCCCAAGGUCUGGCGACUCUUCAUAAAUAGACUCCCUGAGUUCCUCUGGGACCGCAGGAGCUCCCGGGAGAGGCUUAGGAGUGCGGGCCUAACUGGCCCUGAGCCGACGCGGUCAGAAGUGGCAGCCACUGAGACCGGCGACUUUGCCGGCAAACGGAGGCCCUGAGGACAGGAGCGCGUCCCCGGGGUGCGAGAGGCGGAUGUGGCCGGCCACUGGAGCCAGGGCUGGGGCAGUCAGCAUGGCCAAGACCUGGGCUUGACCGCCAGGACCCGCCGCCGCCGCGAACGGCGAUCCCGGGGAGCCCUCGCCUCCGCCCGGGGGUGCUGCCCCGCCGCCGCCGUGGCCCAUGAUGUGGUCUAUGGAGAAGGAAGGCCUCUGGCCGGCCCCGGCGCCCCCGCCGCCCGCACCACCGCCCGCGUCCGUCUUGAGGCCCUGGCGCAGGAGUGCGGUGGACAGACCAGCCGCGGUGCCGGCUGCGGGAGGGCUCAGCGACGCGGGGUAGAAGGCUUUGGCGCAGCCCAGCUCCGCGCCCAGGAAGGCGGGCAGGCCUGCGGGGCCCGGGCCCGACCCUGUGCCCGGGGCAGGCGCAGGGGCCGGAGCCGAGGCUGCGCCUGCGAACACCGAGGCCGUCGGAGGUCCGGGUGGAGGCGCGGCGGCACGGCCUGGGGGUACCGACAGCUGGCAAGGAGCGGCGGCGGCGGCGAAAGCGAAGGCGUGCGGGUGUGGAUGCGGAUGCGGGGCCGGGCCCGGCGGCGGUGCGCCGUAGGCCGGGAGAGCCAACCCGUAGCCAUAGCCGUAGGCUCCGUAAGCGGCGAAACCCGGCAGAAAGGCGCCGGGGUCCCCCGCCGCCGCAGCCCCGCCACGCAGCAGCAGCUCCGGGUGAGGGUGCGUGUGUGGAUGCGGCGGCGGCAGCGGCUGCCGCUUGAAGCGCUUACGGCGCCGCAGGAAGCUGCCGUUGUCGAACAUGUCGGCCGACUCCGGGUCCAGCGUCCAGUAGUUGCCCUUGCCCGGGUUGCCCGGCUCGCGGGGAAUCUUGACGAAGCAGUCGUUGAGCGAGAGGUUGUGGCGGAUGCUGUUCUGCCAGGCGGGGAACUUCUCCCGGUAGUAGGGGAAGCGGCCGCUGAUGAACUCGCAGAUUUCACUCAGCGUCAGGCGCUUCUUGGGGCUCUGCAGGAUGGCCAUGGUGAUGAGCGCGAUGUACGAGUAGGGAGGCUUCACCAGCGGGCUCCGCGUCGCCGCGCCCCCCGACGGCGGUCCCGGCCCGGGGGCCCCGCCGCGCCCCGGGCCGCCGCCGCGCCUGGCCGGGGCUUCCCGCUGCGGCCGCCGCCCCCCGGGGCGCUAGAGCGCGGGGCUCGCCGUCCGAGCAGCCGCCCGACUCCUCGUCCUCAGCUGCGUCCGCCUCGGCUUCCUCCGAGGGAGGCUCGGGGCCGUGCGGGAGCACGUCCCGGGGGGCGCGGGGCCCGGAGCGGGCAGGGAGCUCCCCCCCACCGCUGCCGCCGCCGCCGCCGCCGCCCACUACGUCUAUGUCUGCGUCGGCCUCGGACAGCGCGGCCGGGGAGCUCUCGGAGGACAUGAUCUCGCAGCAGCAGCUGCCCAGGGUCAUGGUGCCGCCGCCGCCGCCGCUCUCCGGCUCCGCUCCGGCCGCGGCUCGGGCUCCGCCGCGCUGCCUCUGGGGCGAGUGUGUUUUGCGCGCGGGCGGGGAGGGGGCGGGGGACUGAGGCGGACAGGGAGGGGUGUCCCCCAGCUUCGCAGCGCCCCCUCGUGGCCCGACUCGGCCGCUCUCACCUCUCGGGGAGUACCCGACCCGCGGCUCUCUCCGCUGCCCCGGGAGCCCGAGCGGGGGCCUGCACGCCGGGGCGCGGGCGGAAGGAGCUGAGGCCUCCCCUCACCCUGGCCGGUCUCGGCCCCAGUCCCCCCGGGGCGGGGGGGGGUCCGGGUAUUAGUCCCUCCCGCCCAGCGGCUGCCCAAGGCGGAAGAGCGCGAGCCCGGGGCGGAGCUCCCUCAGCGGGGUGGGGCGGGGCGGGAGGGGGCGGGCGGAGUGUCUCCGCGGAGGGGCCCGGCGGGAACAAACAGCCGCCGCGGCGGGAGCUCGGCUCCGGUGCCGGAGGCGAGUCCUCCUCUUCCCCGCAGAUCCCGCAAACCUUUCGCUCCCUGGAGCCGCUGCCUUCAGUGCGUUCGGCCCCUGGAUGUUAAGGUUCACGCGGGUGCCAGCGGGAGCCGGGAGAAGGAGCGACAGCGCCCACCCAUCGUCGCCCCAAGGCAGAGACAGCGCCCGGGCCACCAAGGCCGAAGCGCAGUCGGAGCUGGAGCGGGAGCCUGAGACGCCCAGACCAGCGCCGCCCGAGGAGAGCGGGGCCCGCCGCCGCCCGAGCGGCUUCCGGCCCAAGGGGAGACGCACUUGAGUGAUCGCGAGGAGCGAACUUGGCACUCUCAGCCUCGGGCCUCGGAGAGGCUCUACAGACGGACAGCAAGGACCCCCACGGAGACCUCCAGUGAACCCUGACCUUAGCCCCGGGCCAGUGUUGCCUCCAUCUCUCAGCAUCCUGUGCUCACAAGGUUGGUCCUGUGCCCUUUUUCUCGCCAGCCGCGUUCCUGCCCGUUCCAUUAGGCCUCUUUCUCCCCUGGCCUCCCUCCAGGGACCCAGCAACGAGUACCACCAGCUCAGACUGGGCCCAUCUCAACCUCUGGGGGUGAAAAGGGAGAUGGGCACUGGACGUGGGCAAGAGCUGAGAGGAUGGGCGGGCUGCUGCCCCGACAGCGCCGCGCAGUGGUCAAAGCUCAGCCGUGCGAGGUCUGAGAGCCAGCUGCAGUCUGCUGUCACAAGGCUGUUAUGAAGGUGUGCAUGUUGUUUCCCGUCCCCAGCCUCAGUUUCCCGCUGUGCAUAGUAGUUAAGAGCAAGGAUCCUGGAAUCAGGCUACUGCAUCCUGGCUUCACUACUCACCAGCUCUGUCACCUUGGAUAAACUCUUCAUGCCUGUUGCUUUCUCUCUAAAGUUGAGAUUAAAAACACCUACCUCUUGAUUAAUAUGUAAAAGUAGCCCUCACAUUCGCCUACUUAUGAGAGGGUAUGGAGAGCACAUUGCAGACUCUUGGGCAGAGAGAAAGUGGUUGGGGGUGGUGUAGUCUCCCACCUGGAUCUCCAGGCCUGGUCUAGCUCCCCACUGGGUUACCGCUGCCACCUGAUCGUCCUCAGUCACUGUGCUGAAUUAGAUCCCCUGUAGAUAAGCGCUGGGAGCAGGGGGGAGGGAAUUUGCAGCCCCUGCAGGCGCUCUCCCAGCAGGGCUGGUGUGCGUGUGGAUGAAUCCUCCCUUUUAUCCAACAGCAACCUCCAGUCUAUGGAAUAAUCUGGUGUAAAUCGAACUCCCUCAUUCCACAGGUGGGUCAAGAGAGGCCCAGAGAGGGGAAGGGGCUCACCUAGGCUCCUGCGACAAGAUAGAGCAGGGCCGGGGACAACCCUUGUCACAGAAUCCUCAUGACAGAGUUCUCUAUCCUCCCAAGCCAGAAGAGGAUGGAAGGCAGGUCUGGCUGCUCAUGUCCUGUGAGAGCAAGUCCUCUGGGCUGCUCUCUGGGGCCUCAGACCGAGGGGAUCUAUCUAAUGUGCUGGGUCUGGAUAAACACACUGUUCUUGGGAAAAAGAGAAGAGGUCCAGUGCUCAAACCAUGGACAGGCAAUUGGGCAGGGACUAGUGGCCUGGAAUCAGAAUUUCUUAGGUGAUAGGGCUCUCCAGAAAAAAGGGGCCUUGGAGAACAGUUUCUUGCAUGAAUCCAGAUAAACUUACAUGCCUAGGGCUGCUAGAUUUGGCAGAUUUAUUUUAUUUGCCAACCCUACACUUACCCCAGGCUUGCUCAUUGCUACAUGGAGAUCUCUCUCCCACUCAUAGACACCCCACACUACCACCCACCAGCUCCAACUAGCCCAGCUCUACUAGUGUCUAAGGAAAUGGAGAGAAAAGCAGCAUUGGCAUCAUGUGACUCCUUCUCAACUGGUGAAUGUCUUCAUUUCUAAAAUGGCAAAUGUGAACACGUGGCUUCCUUCCUUGCAGUGCUCUCCUGGUCCCCCAGGUCGCAGCCCCCUGCCCAGCUUCAGGGUUAGACUGGCUGAGGCAUUUGCUGCCCAGAUACUCUGGUUCUAACACGCCAGGCAAGACGCUCUACUGAGCACCAGCGGCUGCCAGCCCUUGCCUCUGCCUGGCCCUGCUGCACACUGGCUGCGGCUGAGACCUAGGUCGGGGAAAGGGGAUACAGGCCUCUCAGCUCCUGUUCUGAAAGGUGAGGGUGGGACACGAUCUCAAGGAAUCAUGCAGACUCUUCAAACACACACUUUUACAGUGUGUAACUGUAGGCUCGAGAGAUCAUGUGACUUGCUGGGCUUUUGAAGGGCCCCGGUUGGGCUGGACCCAGGUGUGGAGACUCCUGGCCCAGAGCUCCUCUAGUUAUCCCAAUAACUCUGCUUGGCCCCUGGCGGAGCUGCACGCUUGCCUGGAAGAGGUAUUUCUGGGAGCCUGUCAUCCCUCCCGAGGUUCUGGGCCACCUUGUUUUGAACAAUUCCAGGCGUAGGUGCACUGGGGGCUGGGAGAGGGGCAUUCGGGAUUCCUUCAGUUUUCCUGUCCUUCUCUCGUGUGGGCUUCUCCCACCUGCCGGCUCAGCCUCUUCGACGUCUUCGAGCCGCCGUCUGCGACCCCGCCUGGGUCUGUCACUCCCCUCCGCGAACACCUGGGCGCCUUCCCAGCAGCCUGGGCUGCAGCCUCUACGAAGUACGAGUGACGGGCUCUGUGGGUCUUGGUUACAAUGUCAGUUCGUGCCCCGCCUCUUCCUUCGUCUGCCUCGCUAUUUGGCCACCUCCUUCGAGCAGCCCAGAAACAAUUGGGAGGAGGCACUUGGCGGGGGGAGAGCGCCUGUUCCGGGGAUUUUCCACUCCAAAAUGUUCGGAUAAUCGGGGAGCCGUCGUUGCGUGUUUUGCGAUGUGUUGAUCUCAGUGGUGUGCCUCCGCUUAUGGCCCCUCCCUUGCCUUCUUAUGGUCCCUGUUCAUGCUGUUUUCCUCGCCUCGGGGCAGUGAGAGCUCUCAGAUGAUUAUGAGAAUAUUAUUAAGUCAGUUGCGAAACUGGCGAAGAGCGGAGCUGAGCUAGCGGCGGGGAUGCUGCGCGGACGAUCGCGCGCGGCCUUCCCAGGGUUCGAGUUCUUCCACGCGGCGGUCCGCUCCGCGCAGCCCGGUGGCAAAGCGCGGCCUGAGCUGGGCAAGGGGACCCCGCGCCUGCACACUUCUCUGAUUUUCUUCACAAACCUGGCCAGCCACGGGACAAGCGCGAAACCGGCGUGGCCGCCGCCCCUUCCCACCCUUCCACGGGCCGCAGCUCUGGAGUGAGCGAGACGGUUGCUUGGCCGCGGCUGAUACAUCUCCUGACCCCUCUCUCCACCCAGAUCUUCGCCUGCUCAAGAGCGAUUGGCUCCCUCGGCCCGGGUGGGAGAUGGGAGACUCGAGAUCUUGUGACCUGCAGGGGCAGACCUCAGGCGGCGGGGCUCCCCACCCACAGAAGCCGGACUCCCGGUUAGAGUUCAGGGAGAGGCCCGACCCUCUGCAAGCACCGAAUGACAGGGCCUCCAGCUUGUGCGCCUUCACUCCCGCAGACCACCUGUGAAGCCCAGGCGCCGGCUCAGGUUCGGGCGCCUCUGCAGUACCCGCCACACCUGUGUAUCCUCCGCUUCUCGGAGGAAAUGUCCAUCUUUCUGUCCUUCCAUUACGCCUGGCCACGGUCUCCUCCCAGCUCCCCCUCCCCCAGGGCUACGUGGUGGGAGGCUCGAGCACGGCGUGGCGAUUGGGACCCGGGCCAGCUGCGGAGCCUGUCGGCUCUCUUUCGUGGGAAGAGGGUUCCGGGCUCAGGAAAGGGUGAAAACAGCGCAGCUCCUAAACCCCGGACCUAGGGCGCCGGCUUCGCAGCGACACGCCUGGGAGAUGUGCAGCCAGGGGCAGGGGAAUGAGGGACGUUUCCAAGUGUCUGGAGCGAGCGUGAGCCUCAGAUCUGUGCCCCUACUGUCUGAGUGCAUCCUGGGUUCAGGGCCCAAGGGCCUGUUUCUCCGUCCGCAUGUGUGUGUGUGCCCCUCCUGGUGAUGGUGGCUCUGUGUGUCUGAGUACGUCCCUGAGCCUGAGUGCCUGUCCUGAGUCCCCCCUCCCGAUCGCCCGAUCUGUGCUGGGGACUGCCCUGGAAGGCUCGCCAGCUAGGCCCACCGCUCUACCCAGAGCAUGAAGCGGCGCGACCUGGACGGGGACUCAAACCCACUCCGGGCCGCAGCGUGACCCCGGCAGGGAAGGAGGAUGUGUGACGGUGCGAGCCUGGGUAGAGGUCUGGGACUAUGGCGGGGAGAGGGAGGAGAGCGCACAGGGACCGGGCAGAGGAGAGCUGGGACGACCAGCGGCGGCCUCCUUCCCACCAAUUACACGCCGCCUGCUGGAGCAGCAAUACCUCGGGCACCGGACGCCCUUCCGCAGCCCAGAAUUGGGGCGGGGUAGGAGAAAAGAGGGGGCAUAGCCAUCCAAACCAGGUCCCCCUACGCACCAUACACACACACACACACACACACACACGUGUACACACACACCAUCGCGUUUAGGCUUUCGGAGCCCCAGGCAGGGUAACCGGCGAGGCCGUAAGCCCCGCUUGCGCGAGGAAUAUUGCCGGGUGCCUGAGCCUUCCAGAGCCUCUGCGGAGCCGCGUAAGCCCCACAGAAACAGCAAGAGGACGAGCCAGAGUUCUGCCUUGCCGUGCAGACGCUGGGACAGAUUCCUGGGGAACAGCGACCUCUGGAGGAGCCGCUUAUCCACGCAAAGAAUCAGAACUAGACGACCAGGUCUGGAACCAACGCUCCCUUUCCCCACCGCACCCUUUUGGCAAAGUCAUCCAAAGACUCCUAACCUCCGGACUCCUCUUUGCACAUGCUUGCUCUUUUCCUAACCUGUACCCAUGCUUCAAAUCCUUGCUCAAGUCCCUCCUUCUCCAGAAAGAAGCCUGGAGAGCCCAACCCAUCUUCCCCUCUUCCUUUCUGAGCUCCCCAGAACCCACAGCUUGAACCCUCCACUCGAGCACUCCCACACUGCCCUGCACAGCCGACCUGCUUCCUGCCUCGCCCUUCUCCAAAGAGACCGUUAAUCCAUCCACUCCACCCACCCUUCUACAUUGCAUGCUGGGUGUGCUGUUUUUCUUUCCCUCUGGUAAAUAAAGACUGAAGUCAUUUAUCCCAAAAGUGGACUGUAGGUUUUCAAAGCUAGUCUCUCAGAUGGGAAAAUUGAGACCCAGAGAAGGGCUGACUUGUCCACGGUCACCACACAGCAAAUGGGUAGCAGAGGUGGAACUAGAUCCCCAGUCUCUCAUUUCCCGGGGUCCUCCCCAUUUCACGGGUAUGGGAGCAGGUAAUGUGGGGGAGGACUCAUUUUUGAGGGGCAAGGCCUGGUUGGGGGAUUUUUGGCAUAGGAGAGGGGAAAGGCAGGAGGGAACUAGGGGAGGGGGCACUGCUCUGGAUGGGUCAGUACAGAAGGAAGGGGGGCAGGAAGCAAGGAAGGGGGGGCUGACAAAGGUGCCCUGGAAGGGCAGACCCUUCCUGCCCCAGCCCCAGCCCAGAUCAAGCUACUUUGAAGGGCUCCAAAUUUCAGGCAUUGGCUGAGUGUCUUACAUCAGCAAGUGGGUCAGGUGGAGGCUGGGAAGAGACUCAAUCCAGGCAAAUACCACCCUUCUCUCUGCCCUGGGCAGUGACAGAGGGGCUGAGAAACCUCUGCUGCUAAUACACACCCAGAGGGCGCUACUGAGACUCCAGCUCAACAGGAGGAGGCCUCCUGGCGCUGUAAUUAUAAAGUUAAAGGAGAAGCUGGGAGGGUGGUUUGCAUGUAAUUUGCAUGAGGCCCCAGUGGUACCUGCCUGGCUGCCUAAGGCCUUCUCAGAGAUGCAUUGCUUUCUGGACAUCAUGUGCUUGUCUGCCCUGGCUACUGGAAGCCUGCCCCACACCCCCAUCUUCGCUUGUCCAGUCUCACCUCCAACCCCUGCACUCCACUUGCACCUGAUUUGCUCUUUCUCACCUCUUCACCUUGGCAUGUGGCUCACUCCUCCCUGGGUCACUGCUAAUCUUCCGUCCAUUCCAAAUGUCAAGCUUUAUGAGAUGCUUCCCCCAUGACAACACCCCACAUUGGCCAGGCUGUGAAGGGCUCCUGCCUCUGUGCUCCUAAAGUACUUAGCUCCCUCUGUUGUCAUGACUUGUUUUCCAGUCUUUGGCCCUCUGUAGACUGUGAGCUCCUUGAGAACAGGCAUUAUGUUGUCUUCAUCCUCAUCUUUCCUCCUCUACCUGGUGGGGAUAAUGUACCUAUCUCAAUGAGUUGUUGUGGGAUUAAAUGAGAUAUUGCAUAAAAAGCACUUAGCCCAGUGCCUGAAAUUUUGAAAGAGCUCAGUAAAUGUUUCUAAUUAGCAUCAUCAUUGUUAAUCACUCUACCUCCUGCUGGGCACAAAACCCAACACACAUAGGUACCCCAUUAAUGUUAGAUAUGUGGAUACGUGAACAAAUGACUGAGUGAGUGAGUGGUGUGGCAUAUCUCUCCCUCUUGUCUGGAACUCCCCAGAAAGCUAGUUUACAUCAUCAAUACAAAUAAUUGUUCUCCAAGGACAGACAUCGUUUCUCCCCCAUCAGUUUCUCCCCAUCAGGAGAACAUGUCCCGCAUCAGAGAGGGUUUUCCAUGGCCCCUGACCCCAGCAGUCACUGGAUUUCUCUGUUGAGCUCUUUGCCUCCGUUUCCUUCUUUUAAAAUGGUUACAACCAGCCAAACCCUGCCAAAAUCUUCCAGGGGCUCCCCACUGCUUCUAAGACAAAAUUCAGUUUCCUUAGUCUGGUAAGCUGAACAGGUUUACAGUUUUGGGUGUCCCACCUCUCCAUUGGCUAAGACCUCCCCUCCCAUAUUCCCUGUGGUCUUGAUGGGACUGUCCGAUCUCUGUCCUCCUCACCCUUACCUCCGGGAGCAGACAGGCCACCUGGCUGGAUCAAACAUGGCAGUGAAGUCAAGGGCCUAGUGAUUGGUCUAGGCAGGAGUAAGCCACCUAAACCAAGCCAAUGGCUGCUUUUACAAGAUUUGAUAUAUGGACUCUGGGGCUCCAGGACAUAUGGACUCUGGGACUUCGGGAGUGGUGCCUCUCCUUUCGAAUUGAAAGAUAAACACUAUCCUUCCUGCUAUGUGGAGAGCGCUGUGUGACAUGGAAGCCCAUACACAAAGGGAAACAGCCUAAAGAGAGAAAUAGAGCUUAGUAACAGUGUUAGUCCCCCAAAUCUGCCUGAAGUUAGAACACUUAGACUUUCCAGACAUUCUAAAAAUAUUCCCCCUUUUGCUUAACCUAGGAUUGCAUUGAAUUUCUGCUAGUUUGAGUCGAAUGUCACAAACAGCAGAACCACAAGAGAGAAGGAUCUUGGGUCCCUGAGACCACUGAGGUGCCCUGCCACCCUGAACUGCCAGCACAGACUUUUAUGUGAAAAGGAAAUAAACGUCAAUCUUGGUUAAGCCAUUGUUGCGGAAUUUUCUCAGGGGGUGGGGUUGAGUCUGUUACUCACAACUGAACUUAAACUUAAUUAAUACAGGAAGGGAUGGGAAAUUCCAAUAGGGCUGUUGCUCAGAGAUACUAUUUUGAUAGUAGUGAGCUCCCCAUCAUGGAAAUGCAUGAGCAGAGGCUGGGUAAUCACUGGGCAGGAAUCUUAGAGGCAGCCAGGUGCAGCAGAAAGAGUACAGGUCUUAGGGCUGGGUUCACAUUUUGCUCCGACCACUUAAUAGUUUCAGACAAAUAAUCUCUCCAAGCCUCAGUUUCCUCAUUUGUAAAGUAUCUAGACAGCUGGGUUGGAUAUGGAGACCAAGGAGAUUUCCUAGGCUGCCACCUUGCAGGGACUCCUGAGACCUAGUACUCUAGUUGGAGCCAACUAUGGGUCAGGAGCCCUCAGUGAGUUUCUUGCUCCCCUCUCCAGCCUUGACAUUUUGGAGGAUGCCUGCUCCAACUUGCCAGGAGAAUGCACCUCCUCCUCUGUUCAUGCAACUGGAUGGCGAGGAGCAGUGGGGCCUGAGUGGAGAGGCCUGGGAUCUACCCCCAGUCCUGCCCCUGCCGUCCUGUGUAACCUCAAACAUGCGUCUGCCCUUCCCAGGUCCCCAGUUUCCUCAUCUGACAUGUGAGAAAUGCAGCCCCUGUCCUGGACAGCCUGCCUCCAGAGUCAGGUCUCAUAACCACUGUGCCCUCCCUACGGUUCCAAAUGUGAGCAAUUGCCAUUCACGGCAAUAAUCAUCAUCAUGUUUCUGCAUGGCCUUGCCCUGCCCAGGCUCCUGCUCAUCCUGGCCUAGGUCAGCCCCAAAUGGCAACAUCUGCUACAGGAGCUGACAUCACAGGUCUGGGCCAGCCCCCAGGUUCCCAGGCAGCUGAGGGCCUUGUUUCCAGCCAUGGAGUGUGGCUGCCCCUUAGCCACAUGCGUCCCUCUCACAGGGGGCUCUGCUUGAUCUGCCCUCACCCACUUCCUCCCACAAAGCUGAGGCCACUCAGCUUUGAGGGGUUAGAGGCAAUGAAAUGGGAAAUCUGAGGCCAGAGAGGAGCAGAUUUUAAGACAUGAUUGUAUGAUCAGAAGAAGGGAGUCACAGUUGAGGUCCCAGCUGGGGAGGGCGGGGCAGGGGAGAUGACAGCAUUCAACAGGAAGCCUAGAGGCCCAGAGGUCCAAAGAGCCCGAAGGUCCCGACACCUGCCCCUGAUGCCCAGGAUUUGGGGGCUAGAAGGGAGAAGGAGCAUCACCCUGGACAGACUGACAGCCAGGGCGCAGACCCCACCCAGGGUGGAGGUGCUAAGUGCCCAGACUUCCCAGAUCCAGAGGCCAAAACAUCUGGUAAGGGGCCCUGGAGAGAGACUUUGAUGGGAAGGCCACUGGGGAGGAGGGCAAAGAGGUUUGAGAAGAUGAAAUUCUGACCACGGUCACCAACUGUCCCUUUGAGAAAUAAAAGAGGACAGCUGCCGAAAGAGCCUGUGUGACCACACAGGGAGCUUGGUGUCCUGACAAGGGCUGAGUGGAAAUGCACUUCUAGGAAUUUCUCCUUCAUGUAUACCUACACAGGUGAUGUAUGCCCAAGGUGUCACUGCCGCUGGCUUUGGAAUGACAAAGGGUAUGAAAUAACGUACAUGUCCACGAUUAGGGGGUUGAUUACACAAAUAAUGGCCCAUCCAUAUAAGGGAAUAGUAUGCUGUGUAAACUAGAAUAAAGAAGUUCUAUAUAUAUUGAUCUGGAAAGAGCUCCAAGAUAUGUUGUUGAGUGAAAAAAAUCAAGAUACCUAACAACAUAAACAUUAUGCUUCCAACUGUGGUUUGUUUUUUUUUUUUUUAGGAAGAUUAGCCCUGAGCUAACUACUGCCAAUCUGCCUCUUUUUGCUGAGGAAGACUGGCCCUGAGCUAACAUCCGUGCCCAUCUUCCUAUACUUUAUACGUGGGACGCCUACCACAGCAUGGCUUGCCAAGCAGUGUCAUGUCUGCGCCUGGGAUCCGAACCGGCGAACCCCAGGCCACUGACGCAGAACAUUCGCACUUAACUGCUGCACCACCGGGCCAGCCCUCCACUGUGUUUUUUUAAGGGGGAAAAUAAUGUAUAUUUGUUUUGGUUUGUAUAUGCAACAAAAAUAUGUAGGAGGAUGAAUAAAAACUGAACAACUGAUUAUCUGUUGAGGCAAAUGGGGAACAAAAAUGGAGGUGAGACUUUUCACUGAAUACUUUUUUUAUAUGGAAUCAUUCCAAUAAAUAAGGCUGAGUGUGCAGAACUGAAGAGUAAUGAAGGCCAUUACUACAUGCUGGGCACUUCCUAUGGGCUCCAACAUGAACUGUGGUUGGUGGCUGUAGUUUUGAAGGUGGGACGUGAAAGCAAGACUUACUGGGUGCCUCUGAGCAUUGGCCUGCCACCCGUCAGGCAGGGAGGUAGGUGGGUCUGGUAGCUAGGACCCCAGACUUUCUACCUUGCCCACCUUCUCUUCUGUCCCCAUCCUUCUGUCUUUGCCUCCUCUCUUGGUCCCACCGAAAUUGCUCUGGAAGUAGUCAGACUUUUUCAGUUUGACAAGCUAGACAAGGAUUAGGAUGGAGGAAAGGGUUUUAUAGAAACUAAAAUAGCAGGCUCUCCCCUCCCUUCCUUGAAAACCCCAAACCAGAGCUCACCUCCUCCAGGAAGCCUUCCUUGUGAGGCCCACCAAGCCCCAACCCCUCCACAUUGCAGGGAGAUGGUCUGAUGCCCAAGGUGGGGCCUGCGUCCUCCUCAAGCCAGGCCUAGGCCUCUUGUCUCUAACUCUCCUCCACCCCUUAAACCUCAACUCCAGCCUCCAGACAAGGGGUAUCUCAGGCCAAAGCCUGGCAUGCCCGCCCUGGCCAGGCUGCCCAGGGAGGGAUACAGUGGACAGAGAAGGGGCAGGGCCUGUCCUGGGAAGCCCACAGCCAGGCAGGGGAGAAUAUCCUCCCCCAGCAUCACUACGGCUGUAGCAGUUACAAAGGCCGUCCCACCCAGGCAGAGAGAGCAGGGCACAUUCUCGCUAGUUCAGAGGAGCCUGAGGCUGGGGUCGGGGCAGAGGCUUGAACUGGUGAGUGGCCACAGUGACCUGAGAGCUCCCUGAUCUUGUCAGCACUCUGCACUAUAUUGUCACCCACCAAUAGUUGACUCCUUUGCGCAAGGCCAUCAUCUGAUUCCUCUGAGUCCUCGCUGAGGUGGGGCGCACAGUCACAGAGCCUGGAGAGAGCUGUAAGUUGCUGUGACAGAGGAAGAAGGAAGGCCUUGCCUGAGUGUUAGAGUAGACCUCAGGUUUCCUGACACCCACCCAGCACACUUUCCGCUAUUUCCUUCUUACGGAGUGGAUCAAUUCUCUGCAGCUAGAACCACCUACCACACUCCCAUUCCAAGCCCCUCUAAGUGGGCCACUACCAAGGGCUGCGAAGAAGAAUGGAGGAGGAUGGAAGAUCUGGGAGGGCUUCCCAGGGGAGGUGGGAACUGCAGCCAGCUUUCCUCUUCCACACCAAACAAUUGGGUUCCCCCUGGAGCAAGUGCCUCUCUGCCACCAGAAGCCACCCCAGCCGCAAACAGCGUCCAAAUGGAUCCUGGCUUCAUUCCACUGCUUUCCUGCUCAAAUCAGAGGCAGAGAAUGACUUUGGAGUCAGGCGGACCUAGAGUCAAGUUCUGAGUGGGUCACUUUGCAGCUUGACCUGGGAUCUUCCGAAGAAGGACCUCACCUGGGCUUAAAACCACGCCAGUCACUACAGCAGAGGGUUCUCCACGUUGUGCAUUUGUCCUUCUGCCUUCCCAGAUGUGCAAAAUUUUCCCCCAAAUUUACCUCGACUGAAACAAAGAAACAAAGCAAGAGAAAGGAAGAUAUGGAAGCAAAGGAUCCAAGACAGGAGAGAGAUGGAGGGAAUUCCAAAAGAAAGAGUGAGUGAAAAUUUCAGGUCCACAUCUGUGCAGCAGACACGGAGAGCAAUCAGCCCAGACCGGAGCUGGAGGACAGCGGGCUCUGGGAGAGAUGCCCCCGGGAAAGGAAAAACACAGCAACCAAAAGCAAUGACAGAUUUCCUGCAUCUACCAAAGUGUCACAAUUCUUGGGGCACUCUACCACACAUAGCUUUCCAGACAAUGGACUCUGUAAGGGCAAGAACAGUCUCAGAAGUGACAUUUCUAGAAUUUCCAUACAGACAUUUCCCACCUCAUCCUGACCUCACUGUUCCAAGAUCCCAGGGACAGAGACCUGCAGGGUGGUGACAAGAAUGGAAUUCAGAGCUCAAGAAGCACUUCCUGGCUUCAGCGGAGGGAGAGGGGUCAUCCCCUUCCCUGGAAAUUUCUUGGAUUAGGAAGGAAUUUAUCAAGAGGUACUCUGAGGCGGGAGGAGGAGCUGUAACACCAUUUGGGAGCAGAGGAACAUUUGUGAUCUUUGUAGAGACUUACUCCUUCAGGAACUGAGGGCUGGAUCUUCUGCCCCCUGCUGGGCCCCAGGGAGGGGCAAUUUCCUCAUAGGAUGAAUGGGCAAACCGCCUUCACCUCCACCUCUUUCACCUCCGUGGCCUCUUUUGCAGGUCACUGUGAGGUCCACAAGUGAGAAUGGAUAAGAAAGUGCCAAAUACUGUUAAGCCAGUCCUUAUUCAUUUUCCAGAUGGUGGGGCAGCCUACGGACUCCCCUUUCAGUCAGGAGCCCCUGGUGCUGCUUUUCUCAGAAAUCUCGAAGAACUGUCCUCGGGGCCUGGCAGAGUGCUGCCAGGUGUGUCUGUGUGGAAGGAGAGCUCUCUCCCGGGAAGACACCGAGGGCAGACAGACCAGGAAGAGAGACAACCUCCAGCCAUCCCUCUCAGAGAGUGACUUCAAUAUCGACUUCGUCACACAACCAGGAACUGGCCAUCAUCCUCUAUUCCUUUCUCUCCCUCUCCAGCCACCUCCAGUCACCGAGACCGGCAAAAGUCCCGCUGGUGCCUCUGGCCUGACCGCACCCAGAGAGACUUCAGCACAUGCUCUGCGUUUGCCUCCCUCUGUGCUCAGUUCCUCCACGGACCCUAGGCCAGGCUAUAGAGUGGCACGGCUCAGCGAGCAUUUGUUGAGUGACUGACCAACUGCCUUGCUGAAUGAAUGAAUGAACGAUAAAUGGAUGAACAAACAAAUGACCACACAUGUCUGGAAAGGCAAAAGAACCCUGUGCCUGAGUUCCAGCUGGGAAUCUGCCUCCUGCCCUCACUGCCUCUCUGCUCAGCUCUGCAGCCGGGGGCCCAGACGCCCCCCACGGUUCUUGCCUCAGCAGGGUCCAGACUCCGUUCAGGCUCAGACUGAGACAGUGUUGGCUCAGCCCUGAGGGUGUAAUUCCAGCCGCUCCUAACCACACACCCGGCAUCUGAAGUAUGUUCCGUGUCAUUUCGGGCUGUCAGCGUUCUGCGUUCUGCCAUCUGCCUCACCCCUGAACCCUGGGCAAUCUCAGGGCUCCCAGGCUCCCCGCUUCUCAUUUCCAGGGAAGCUGAGGGGGAGGUGCCGUCAGCCAGGCUGGCUGGGCCAAGGGAGCCGGGCUGAAGAAGAGGGAGUUUGAACCCACUACUCAUUUGCUGUGUGAUCCUGAGCAAGUUGCACAACUCCUGUGGCCCAGAUUAGACACAUAAGCCCCUCGUGCCUGAAGACCUCUGAGAUGAUCUAGCCCAGUGAGUUCCAGCCUAUGGGCCCCUCAGGCAGGGCCCCUGGAAUCCGCAUGGCCCCCAGGGCUGUCUGUAAAGAGGAUGGCCAAUGUCUCACACACAAGUAUGAAUGUGUUUCAAACGGAUGUCGAUGCUGAGUGACUGAUAAAUACCCACAUUUAAAAGCUUUGCAGUUGUUUUUAUUUUUAAUCCAUCAAUGGAUACUAAAAGCAGAACUACUAUCAUAUGGAGCAGCUAAGAGGUAUUGUUAAUCCCCAUUCUUAAACUGCUGCCUCAGUCUCAUAUGCCUUCUUUACAGCUUUGGGUAUUGAGGUCCAGAAAGGGGAGGGACUUGCCUAAAGUCCCAUAGCAAGUCAGUGCAAAGGCCAAAAUGGAGCCCAGGAUUCUGUUCAUUCAACAGUAUUUAUGAAGUACCUGCCUGUGGCGGACUCUAUCUGGGCGGCAGACAGCCAGUGAGGAAGACCAACGGCCCUACUCAGGGGCUGGCAUUCAUCUGGGAGCGGGGUAGGCGUUAUGGGGGGAGUGGAGACACGGAACAAAGACUUUACCCUAACUUCGAAAAGAAGCCAUUGAAGGACUGGAACCAGGAAGCGAUGUGAUAAGACUCCUGUUGUACAACAGCCACUGCACUUGCAGUGUGGACGAUGGGCUCGAAGGUUUCUAUCAUUUAGGAUGUUUUUGGCUCCAAGUAACAGAAAACCUCAACUUAAAGCAAUUUAUGUUGUCGGGAAAUACAUUUUCUCCCUAACAAGAAGGUCAGAGGCAGGAUGUAGUUAGGGCUCUGGCUCCCCUUUUCUGUGAGUCUCUUGGCUCUGCUGUCCGUCAUGGGCCGGCCCCAUCUUAAGGCUGUGGCGAGAUAAUUACAGCACCCGAAACUACACAGAGUUCCAAGUCUC
rnacentral:lncRNA from 1 species